rnacentral:lncRNA from 1 species
CAGCCCUUCACUGCUGUGUCUCCUGCAGGGGAUCUCCUGGCUCCUGCUCUCCAAAUGAACUCAAGUUCUGCUCAGCCAGGUACCACAGUUGUGCUCCAGUGUAUUCUCCAUGUAGUGUCAUCCGUAAGACGAAUCAUCUUCUGCAAGGAUGGGAUGGAGCUGUACAGUCUGAUAGCCCAGCAAGGGCAGCUGAGCUACUCUGUGGUCCUGAACAUCACGUCAAGAAGCGCAGGAAGAUAUACAUGUGGGUACCAGGCGCUGAAUGAGAUGAAACACAUGAGGAGCUCUGCCCUCAGUGCCGGCUGCAUCCUGAAUGUCCCUGGGAGGAAACCAUGUAGGUGCUGUUUGGACAGAGCAGUGGGAAAGUGUAGUUUAGCAAGGACCAACAGUGGGGACAUGGUCAUGGCGGUUCAUGAGGUCUUCACCCCUCUAAGCAAACUGCUGCGUGCCCCAAUGUGCAAGUGCUUCCAUGACCACCCAGGACAUCCAAAGCUCCCCAGGUGCCUGCAGAGGGAGAUGCCCAAGGUAGCAGCACGUUGACAGCCCACAGGCGGAAGACACCAACUAUGGUGACAUCCAGUACGUGCACAGAGCAGCUUGCAAGGUGUGCUGGCUGUGCAAGGAGAGGUGAUGCCACAGAAUGGUGGAAAUAAACCAAAACUUCAGUAUUUCUGCUCCA